UGCGGUCAAAAAAUCCAAUGGAUUUUUAACGUUGGCUUUACCAACGGCGCCACUGGGGCGGACAAUCGAACUGGAUUCGAUAGUGAGCCAUC
rnacentral:ncRNA from 1 species